CGGAACAGGUUUUGCACUCAAGAAAUCUCUGCUGAACUCAGUCUUAAGGUUUCAAAUCAGACACAUGGGGGCCUCACUCAAAUAGUCAAGGUCAAACCAAGAUUUUGAUUGUCGUCAGCGCCACCUAUCCGCUGCUUACAAGGCAACUUACUCAUAAAUGGCUGCUGAUUUCAAAAAUGCUGAUUUGCAUUUUUUGCGAGGCGUCGGUAUCAGGAAAAGGCUUUGUUUCUUGCACAAGUUGUUUGCUUUCUGCGACCAAUAAUUUAUUAAAACAUGAGUUUUAGACCUUGGUGUGUGCCUAUCAGUGCGUUGAUAUUUGUUCUAAUCGAAUUAUUUACAUUUUGAUUGCUACAAAUUCAGUACAAAUUCUGCAAGGGCCACACAGUUUCGAGGGUAAGGAGACUUAAUUUGGAAGCAGUAGAAGUUACACAGCAGAAGCAGUUGUCGGCUCGCAACAAAAUUUUGUAUUAGGGCGUAAAGAAUUUGGUACAUCGCCAACAGCUAAGAAACCUAUAUAUAAUUAUGUUAUCCAUACACAUACCUAAAUAUGUAUCUGCAUUAGUAAUUGUACUAAAUUAAUGAAUUUGUUUUGUUACUUUGAAUUAGGUAUUAGUUUAAUUUCUGAAUUUUUGAUUCAUAACAUGAUUUUGCUUCUUGAACAAAUGUUGCUGGUUUCUAUAGCAAACACUUUUCACAAUAUAAUAGUAAUUGGCGUUUCGCCUAUUGAUUUACUCCAAUAAAAAUGUGUAAAUGUU